CCUACGGGAGGCAGCAGUGGGGAAUAUUGCACAAUGGGCGCAAGCCUGAUGCAGCCAUGCCGCGUGUGUGAAGAAGGCCUUCGGGUUGUAAAGCACUUUCAGCGGGGAGGAAGGCGAUAGGUUAAUAACCUUGUUGAUCGACGUUACCCGCAGAAGAAGCACCGGCUAACUCCGUGCCA
rnacentral:rRNA from 1 species